AUUGAACGCUGGCGGCAGGCCUAACACAUGCAAGUCGAACGCGUGGCGGACGGGUGAGUAAUGCGUGGGAAUCUCGCUUAUGGAGGGGGAUAACUACGGGUAACUGUAGCUAAUACCGCGUACCAUAGGCUGAGCCCAAGUGGGAUUAGGUAGUUUGUGGGGUAACGGCGCACCUAGGCCACGAUCUCUAGCUGGUCUGAGAGGAUGAUCAGCCACAUUGGGACUGAGACACGGCCCAGACUCCUACGGGAGGCAGCAGUGGGGAAUAUUGCACAAUGGGCGCAAGCCUGAUGCAGCCAUGCCGCGUGUAUGAAGAAGGCCUUAGGGUUGUAAAGUACUUUCAGCCGGGAGGCGUUACCCGCAGAAGAAGCACCGGCUAACUCCGUGCCAGCAGCCGCGGUAAUUC
rnacentral:rRNA from 1 species